rnacentral:lncRNA from 1 species
GUGAGUACCAGCCUAUUUGAGUGUAGGAAGGAGAAAAAUCUGUGCUCCUGCUCCUGGGUACUGGGCAAAGAAACCCUUUGGUUGGGGAUUUUUGCCUGGUACCAACUUUAUAGGUGCCAACAAGAAAGAAAGAAAAAAACACAUACAAAAUAAACACCCAACAGGGAGAUUCGCUGUGUUAAGAACUCGAGCUGUUGCUAUUAUUCUAAGAGACUGGGUAGCCAGUCAAAGGGUUAAAACAGCCCUUCCUACAAGGAUUUGAAAACUCUGUGCUCUGCUCUUCCUCAGCAGACUUCUCGUUAAAAGCAGGUGAUAUUCUCAGUGGAGACCAGGACAAGGAACAGAAAGACCCUUACUUUGUGGAGACCCCCUAUGGUUAUCAACUAGACUUAGAUUUCCUCAAAUAUGUGGAUGACAUACAGAAGGGAAAUACCAUCAAAAGACU